CAGACCUCUAAUCGGAAAAGACUACCCGCUGAGUUUAAGCAUAU
rnacentral:rRNA from 2 species